AACGCGAAGAACCUUACCUGGGCUCGAAAUGUAGUGGACUGGGGUAGAAAUAUCCCUUCCUAGCAAUAGGUCGCUAUAUAGGUGCUGCAUGGCUGUCGUCAGCUCGUGUCGUGAGAUGUUGGGUUAAGUCCCGCAACGAGCGCAACCCUUAUCUCCAGUUGCCAUCAUUCAGUUGGGCACUCUGGCGAAACCGCCUCGGAUAACGGGGAGGAAGGUGGGGAUGACGUCAAGUCCUCAUGGCCUUUAUGUCCAGGGCUACACACGUGCUACAAUGGCCGGUAUAAACCGCUGCAAACCCGCGAGGGGGAGCUAAUCGGAAAAAGCCGGCCUCAGUUCGGAUCGCAGUCUGCAACUCGACUGCGUGAAGCUGGAAUCGCUAGUAAUCGCAGAUCAGAAUGCUGCGGUGAAUACGUUCCCGGGCCUUGUACACACCGAGACGAC
rnacentral:rRNA from 1 species